UCGAACGAAGCAUUUACACGGAAUCCCUCGGGAGGAAGUGUGAAUGACUGAGUGGCGGACGGGUGAGUAACGCGUGGGCAACCUGCCCCGUACCGGGGGAUAACAGCCGGAAACGGCUGCUAAUACCGCAUAUGCUUUGCGGGCCGCAUGGCCCGCAAAGCAAAACUCCGGUGGUACGGGAUGGGCCCGCGUCUGAUUAGCUGGUUGGCGGGGUAACGGCCCACCAAGGCGACGAUCAGUAGCCGGCCUGAGAGGGCGGCCGGCCACAUUGGGACUGAGACACGGCCCAGACUCCUGCGGGAGGCAGCAGUGGGGAAUAUUGCACAAUGGGGGAAACCCUGAUGCAGCGACGCCGCGUGGGCGAGGAAGUACCUCGGUAUGUAAAGCCCUAUCAGCAGGGAAGAAACAGGACAGUACCUGACUAAGAAGCCCCGGCUAACUACGUGCCAGCAGCCGCGGUAAUACGUAGGGGGCAAGCGUUAUCCGGAUUCACUGGGCGUAAAGGGAGCGCAGGCGGCAUGGCAAGUCUGAUGUGAAAACCCGGGGCCCAACCCCGGGAGUGCAUUGGAAACUGCCAGGCUGGAGUGUCGGAGGGGUAAGCGGAAUUCCUAGUGUAGCGGUGAAAUGCGUAGAUAUUAGGAGGAACACCAGUGGCGAAGGCGGCUUACUGGACUGUAACUGACGUUGAGGCUCGAAAGCGUGGGGAG
rnacentral:rRNA from 1 species